rnacentral:rRNA from 1 species
UACGGAGGAUGCAAGCGUUAUCCGGAAUGAUUGGGCGUAAAGCGUCCGCAGGUGGCUGUGUAAGUCUGCUGUUAAAGAGUCUAGCUCAACUAGAUACAAGCAGUGGAAACUACACGGCUAGAGUACGUUCGGGGCAGAGGGAACUCCUGGUGUAGCGGUGAAAUGCGUAGAGAUCAGGAAGAACACCGGUGGCGAAGGCGCUCUGCUAGGCCGUAACUGACACUGAGGGACGAAAGCUAGGGGAGCGAAUGGG